rnacentral:rRNA from 1 species
GGAUCCCAUCAUAACUUCGAAGUUAAGCGUGCUUGGGCGAGAGUAGUACUAGGAUGGGUGACCUCCUGGGAAGUCCUCGUGUUGCAUUCCCC